rnacentral:lncRNA from 1 species
GCACCAGCUCCUCCCUGUACCUCAAGCCCCAUGACCCUCUGACUUGAUCAACAGCAACAGCAGCUCCCUCCCUGGUCUCCAGCUCCACAACCUUCAGCCUUAAACAGCAGCAGCACCAGCUCCUCCCUGGGUCUCCAGCUCCACAACCCUCAGACUAGAACCGCACCCCUCCUCCCUGAGUCUCCAGCUCCAUGACCGUCAAACUACAACAGCAACACAGGUUCCUGUCUGGAUCUCCAGCUCAGCAACUCUCAGAUGAGGCAGCACCGGCAACUCACCAAGGCUCCAGCUCCACAACCCUCAGAUUUGAAUAAUGGUAGCACCAGCUCCUGUCCAGAUCUCCAGCUUCAUGAUCCUUAAACUAGAACAGCAGCACCGCUGCCUCCCUGGGUUUCCAGCUCCACGACCCUAAGACAUGAAUGGCAGAACCGGCUUCCCACAAGGGUUCCAGCUCCAGGACCCACAGAUUUAAAUGGCAGCACUGGCUCUUCCCAGGAUUUCCAGCUCCACUACCCUCAAACUAGAAGAGGAGCACCGGCUCCUCCCUGGGUCUCCAGCUCCCAAACCCUCAGACAUCACCUGACACACUGGAUCCUCCCCACAGUUACAUAGCAGCACGGGCUGUCCCCGAAAACUCGAGAUCCACAACCCUCUGACUUCAAUGGCGGUAGUACUGGUUCCUCCCUAGGUCUCCAGUUCCAUGACCCUCAAACUACACAGCAGCACCAGCUCCUCCCCAGGUCUACAGCUCCACCACCCUCACACUAGACACCAGGACUACCUCCUCCCCGCUCUCCAGCUACACGACCCGCAGAUUUGAACAGCAGCAGCGUCUCCUCCCUGUACCUCAAGCCCCAUAACCCUCAUAUAUGAACAACAGCAAUACCAGCUAAUGCCUAGGGCUCCAGCUCCAGGAUCCACAGAUUUAAACUGCAGCACCAGCUCGUCCAAGGAUCUCCAGCUCCACCACCCUCAGACUAGAACAAGACCUCUACUCCCUGGGUCGCGAGCUUCCGGACCCUCGAACUAUGAAAACAUUGCUCCUCCCUGGGUCCGCAGCUCCACGACCCUCAAACCAGAUCAAGAUCUCUCCUCCCUGUGUCGUCAGCUUCCUGACCCUUGAACUAUGACAACAUUGCUCCUCCCUGGGUCAGCAGCUCCACAACCCUCAAACCAGAUCAAGAUCUCUCCUCCCUGGGUCGCCAGCUUCCUGACCCUCGAACAACAGAAACAUUACUCCUCCCUGGGUCAGCAGCUCCAUGAUCCUCAAACUAGAAUGAGACCUCUCCUCCCUGCGUCGCCAGCUUCUGGACCCUUGAACUAUGAAAAUAUUGCUCCUCCCUGGAUCUGCAGCUCCACGACCCUCAGACUAGAACACGAUCUGUCCUCCCUGGGUCACCAGCUUCCGAACCUUCGAACUAAAACAACAUUGCUCCUCCCUGGGUCUGCAGCUCCACGACCCUCAAACUAGAAAAAGACCUCUCCUCACUGUGUCGCCAGCUUCUGGACCCUCGAACUACAAAAACAUUGCUCCUGCCUGGGUCUGCAGCUCCACGACCCUCAAUCCAGAUCAAGAUCUCUCCUCCCUGUGUCAUCAGCUUCCUGACCCUCGAACUAUGACAGCAUUGCUCCUCCCUGGGCGCACCCUCAAACUAGAACAAGACCUCUCCACCCUGCGUCGCCAGUUUCCGGAGCCUCAAACUAAAACAACCUUGCUCCUCCCUGGGUCUGCAGCUCCACAACCCUCAAACUAGAACCAGACCUCUCCUCCCUGUGUUGCCAGCUUCCUGACCCUUGAACUAUGGAAACAUGGCUCCUCCCUAGGUCUGCAGCUCCACGACCCUCAAACUAAAACAAGAUCUCUCCUCCCUGGGUCUGCAGCUCCACGACCCUCAAACUAAAACAAGAUCUCUCCUCCCUGUGUCAUCAGCUUCCAGUCCCUCAAAUAACAACAUUGCUCCUCCCUGGGUCUGCAGCUCCACGACCCUCAAACUAAAACAAGACCUCUCCUCUCUAGGUCUGCAGCUUCCAGUCCCUCAAAUAACAACAUUGCUCCUCCCUGGAUCUGCAGCUCCAUGACUCUCAGACUACAACAAGAUCUCUCCUCCCUGGGUCACCAGCUUCCGGACCCUCGAACUACGAAAACAUUGCUCCUCCCUGGGUCUCCAGCUCCAUGACCCUCAAACUAAAACAAGAUCUCUCCUCCCUGUGUCAUCAGCUUCCAGUCCCUCAAAUAACAACAUUGCUCCUCCCUGGGUCUGCAGCUCCACGACCCUUAAACUAGAACAAGACCUCUCCUCACUGUGUCGCCAGCUUCCGGACCCUUGAACUAUGAAAACAUUGCUCCUCCCUGGAUCUGCAGCUCCACGACCCUCAGACUAGAACAAGAUCUCUCCUCCCUGGGUCACCAGCUUCCGGACCCUGGAACUACAAAAACAUUGCUCCUCCCUGGGUCUGCAGCUCCACAACCCUCAAACUAAAACAAGAUCUCUCCUCCCUGUGUUGCCAGCUUCCGGACCCUCGAACUAUGACAACAUUGCUCCUCCCUGGGUCUGCAGCUCCACGACCCUCAAAGCAGAUCAAGAUCUCUCCUUCCUGUGUCAUCAGCUUCCUGACCCUUGAACUAUGACAACAUUGCUCCUCCCUGGGUCUGCAGCUCCAUGACUCUCAAACUAGAACAGCAGCACCAGCUCCUUCCUGGACCUCCAGGUCAAUGACUCUCAGACUUCAAAGGCAGCAGCAGCUCCACCCCCAGGCUCCAGCUCUAAAACCCUCAGAUGUGAGCAGUGGCAGCACCAGCUCCUUUCUGCGUCUCCGGCUUCAUGAUCCUUAAAUUAGAACAGCAGCGCCAUCUUCUCCCUGCGUCUCCAGCUCCAGGAACCUCAAACUGCAACAGGAGCACCUGUUCCUCUGGGAUUUUCACCUCCACGACCCUGAGGUGUCAGUGGCAGCACUGGCUCCUCCCCUGGGCUGCAGCUCCAGAACCCUCAAGAAUAAUCCCUUCUCAUGAAAUGUAGCAGUCAGGAAAACUGCAGAGGAAGUAAAUAAAUAAAUGUUUUCUUUCAAACUGAUGUUUCUUUUAUAUUCACACAAGUCAGGAAACUUUUCUACUUUCCAUCAACCUUACAAUCUACUUAUAUUCAAUUGUAAGGUGGAAAUCCACCAUUUGAAAUAACCUUUAAAAACUUAGUAACUCUCUUUUACUAUGAUUUUAUCUCACAGCUCUAGAAACGAUCUUUCACUUUGCCUGUGCAGAAGUCUUGUGAACAUUCAAACUAGAAUUUACUUGGUUGAGAUUCUAGAAUACACGUUAUCCCCAGAUGUUCCUGCCCUCCUUAAAAUCUUCUAACAUGUUCCCCUCACCCGAGCAUAAAUGCCAGGUCCUAUCCACAGCCCACAGUGCCCAGCACGGCCCUGCCCUCUGCCCUGACCUUAUGGUCUCCCCUCUGCUGUUACUUUCCUCCCAGACAGGCCUCUGUCACUUCCUGAAACCACACAGGCUCAGGCCUGACUCCGGGCCUUUGCCCCUGCUGUGCCCCCUGCGUGGAGCGCCUUUGCCCGGCUCCCCAUCCUCCUCUCCACCCGCUCAGCUCCAGCCUGCUGGC